ACCUGGGUGGCUCAGUCGGUGAAGCAUCUGACUUCGGCUCAGGUCAUGAUCUCAUAGUUUGUGGGUUCAAGCCCCGCUUUGGGCU
rnacentral:tRNA from 1 species